rnacentral:rRNA from 1 species
UACGGAGGGUGCAAACGUUGCUCGGAAUCAUUGGGCGUAAAGCGCACGUAGGCGGCCUGUUAAGUCGGGUGUGAAAGCCCUGGGCUCAACCCAGGAAGUGCACUCGAAACUGGCGGGCUUGAAUAUGGAAGAGGGUCGCGGAAUUCCCGGUGUAGAGGUGAAAUUCGUAGAUAUCGGGAGGAACACCAGUGGCGAAGGCGGCGCCUGGGCCAAUAUUGACGCUGAGGUGCGAAAGCGUGGGGAGCAAACAGG